rnacentral:rRNA from 1 species
UGCCAGCAGCCGCGGUAAUACGAAGGUCCCAAGCGUUGUUCGGAAUCACUGGGCGUAAAGCGAGCGUAGGCGGCAUGGUAAGUCAGAUGUGAAAGCCCGGGGCUCAACCCCGGAACUGCAUCCGAUACUGCCAAGCUAGAGUAGUGGAGGGGUGUCUGGAAUUCACGGUGUAGCAGUGAAAUGCGUAGAGAUCGUGAGGAACACUAGUGGCGAAGGCGAGACACUGGACACUAACUGACGCUGAGGCUCGAAGGCUAGGGUAGCGAAAGGGAUUAGAUA